GGGUUGGUGGCUCGCGUUGAGGGGCUCGGGGUUCCGCGCUCGUCCCCGGCGUUCUCACUGGUAUGGUGAAAAUUGGGUUUGGAUGGUAUCUGUUCUCUUCGGCUUUUGAAUUCGAGUUCUGCAUAGUAUGCAUGUUUCAGGGCAUGUUUUACUGUACUGUAGGGUGCACUAAUGUUGGAUGAAAUGUUGUUUGAGUAAUGUUUCUCUGUGCUAGGAGAAUUAUUUUUGAACUUGGGCUUGAAUACUAUCAGUGGUCAACGGGUUCUAGUACAAAUGAUGAGUUAUUGAUGAGAGGGCAUUCAAAUCGGCGAUAUGUAUCAUCAAACAUUAUUUAGACCGUUUGAAUUGCAUAUAAACCAAAUUUCAUGCCUUUUCUAUAUUAUUUACGUAAUGAUUGAUUCUUUGAUCUAUUUAACACUCUUGAUCACGGAAACAAGAUUAGUAUCCUGACCUUUUUAGGAAUAUUCAUUCGCAGCCAUAUAUUUUAAUGUAUGCUUAUGGACCCCAAAAAAAAAACUUGAAGCGUGAAAUUUGGUUUCUAAAUAGUUCGAAUAGUGUAGAUCAUGGUUGACAGUGCAAAUCAUCAAUUUUCUAUGAUGCACAGAUACGGAUAUGGGGAUGCGGAUAGGACACGAUACGGACACGGUGAUAUGGGAAUUCCUAAAACUUUUAGGAUACAAUAUGCGAGGCACUGUGGGUGCUCCACUUCGUAAGCAAGGCCAAGCUCAAGGGCAAGCUAGACUGCAUGAAGAGCUUUGGGUGGACGGAGGCUCAGUUUCUCGCAGCAUUCUAGAAGUCCCCAGUGAUUGUGACGCUGUCGGAAAAGACGAUGAGUGCCAAGAUGGAGUUCUUCGUCAAGGAGGCUGGAUUUGAACCUUCUCUCAUUGACCGCCAUCCUGACCUGCUGAAAUACAGCUUGGAUAACAGAAUCAUUCCUCGCCAUCGUGUCCUCUUGAUGCUUAUAUCUAGAAGUCUUUGUGACAGAGAGUAUAAACUCUCCACUGUUAUGGUGUCAUCGGAGAAGAAGUUUGCUAAGUAUUUCAUUGCUCGAUACAAGGAGGAAUUGCCAGAGUUGCAAGAGAUUUACACUGCCGAAUUUGGUAGGCAGCAUGCCAAAAAUUGUUCAUUCAGUCCUCAGAUAGAGGAGUGUUAAGGCUUCAAUCUCUCACUCUCUUUGCUUUGUUUCUUCCACGCAAUCAGUGAGAAGGUGGUGUGCGACUUCGGCAUUUCAAUACAGUUAUUAUAUAAGCAAGUCAACAUGGGCAUUUAUGGCCAAGUGAGAAGCUUGUACGAAUUACGAUGUAGUGUUAUUCUUUUCUAUUACAGCCUAAGAUUUUGUUGUUAAACUAACCCGAAGAAUGGUUUUAUUAUGUAGUUACAGACAUCCUUGUAAAUGCAUUAAUUAUAGCCAUCUUUUUGUAUUCUGUGUAAACUGUGGGAUAGAAUGAACAUGAUAUUGAUAAACUGGUC